UCCAGCCUGCCCGGUGACAAGAUUUAACGGCCGCGGUACCCUAACCGUGCGAAGGUAGCAUAAUCACUUGUUCUUUAAAUGAGGACUCGUAUCAACGGCAUCACGAGGAUCCUACUGUCUCCCCCCUCUAAUCGGUGAAACUGAUCUCUCCGUGAAGAAGCGGAGAUGUACAUAUAAGACGAGAAGACCCCAUGGAGCUUUAAACCCAACAACACCCGCCCCCCUCCAAAUCCUAUUAUUUACCCGGUGAUUGUUUGUUUGGUUUUAGGUUGGGGUGACCGCGGAGUAUAAGAUAUCCUCCAUGAAAAAAAGCUAACUGCCCUUAUUAGAGAAAGACACUUCCAAAAAAUAAUAAAUUAAUUUUAAAUGAUCCGACAUUCGAUCAACGAACCAAGUUACCCUGGGGAUAACAGCGCAAUCCGCCCCGAGAGCCCCUAUCGACAGGCGGGUUUACGACCUCGAUGUUGGAUCAGGGUAUCCCAGUGGUGCAGCAGCUACUAAAGGUUCGUUUGUUCAACGAUUAAAACCCU
rnacentral:rRNA from 1 species